GAGUUUGAUCCUGGCUCAGGAUGAACGCUAGCGGCAGGCCUAAUACAUGCAAGUCGAGGGGCAGCAGGGUAGCAAUAUCGCUGGCGACCGGCGCACGGGUGCGUAACACGUAUACAAUCUGCCUUUAACGGGGGGAUAGCCCGGAGAAAUCCGGAUUAAUACCCCAUAACACGAGAAACGGCAUCGUUUUUUGUUAAAAGCUCCGGCGGUUAGAGAUGAGUAUGCGUCUGAUUAGCUAGUUGGUGAGGUAACGGCUCACCAAGGCGACGAUCAGUAGGGGAUCUGAGAGGAUUAACCCCCACACGGAUACUGAGACACGGAUCCGACUCCUACGGGAGGCAGCAGUAAGGAAUAUUGGACAAUGGGGGCAACCCUGAUCCAGCAAUGCCGCGUGAGUGAUGAAGGCCUU
rnacentral:rRNA from 1 species